rnacentral:lncRNA from 1 species
UGGAAAGGUUUCACGAGAAACUCUUUCUCGUGUAAGAUAUGGGGCGCUAAAGAGGAUAAGGACAUGGUGCAUGGAUUGGUUGCUCAUUCAAAUUCAAACUUUGUUUUGAAUUUGAAUGGCCAACCAACCAUCCUUAUCCACCUAUGUGGCGCACAAAUGUGGGGCGUGGGAAGGGCUUUGCAUGAGAGAAAAUUCACGAGAAGUUUCUUCUCGUGAAUCCAAAUGGGCG